rnacentral:rRNA from 1 species
GUAACACGUAUCCAACCUGCCGUCUACUCUUGGCCAGCCUUCUGAAAGGAAGAUUAAUCCAGGAUGGCAUCAUGAGUUCACAUGUCCGCAUGAUUAAAGGUAUUUUCCGGUAGACGAUGGGGAUGCGUUCCAUUAGAUAGUAGGCGGGGUAACGGCCCACCUAGUCAACGAUGGAUAGGGGUUCUGAGAGGAAGGUCCCCCACAUUGGACUGAGACACGGCCAA